rnacentral:rRNA from 1 species
AACGAACGCUGGCGGCGCGCCUAAUACAUGCAAGUCGAACGAGAAGCUGUAGCAAUACAGUUGUACAGUGGCGAACGGGUGAGGAAUACAUGGGUGACCUACCCUCGAGUGGGGAAUAACCAGCCGAAAGGUUGGCUAAUACCGCGUACGCUUCCCAGUCUACGGGUUGGGAAGGAAAGCGAUGCCGUGGGUAUCGCGCUCAAGGUUGGGCUCAUGUCCUAUCAGCUUGNGGUGGGGUAACGGCUCACCAAGGCAACGACGGGUAGCUGGUCUGAGAGGACGAUCAGCCACACUGGCACUGCGACACGGGCCAGACUCCUACGGGAGGCAGCAGUAAGGAAUAUUGCGCAAUGGGCGAAAGCCUGACGCAGCGACGCCGCGUGGGGGAGUGAAGGUCUUCGGAUUGUAAACCCCUUUCGGGAGGGAAGAUGGAACGAGCAAUCGUUCGGACGGUACCUCCAGAAGCAGCCACGG